rnacentral:rRNA from 1 species
GACGAACGCUGGCGGCGUGCUUAACACAUGCAAGUCGAACGAAGUGGCGAACGGGUGAGUAACGCGUAAUCAACCUGCCCUUCAGAGGGGGACAACAGUUGGAAACGACUGCUAAUACCGCAAACUGAAGGAGGGGAUUGAGUCGGAUUAGCUAUGUGGGGGGGUAAAGGCCCACCAAUGCGAUGAUCAGUAGCCGGUUUGGGAGGAUGGACGGCCACAAUGGGACUGGGACACGGCCCAGACUCCUACGGGAGGCAGCAGUGGGGAAUCUUCCGCAAUGGACGAAAGUCUGACGGAGCAACGCCGCGGGAGUGAUGACGGCCUUCGGGUUGUAAAGCUCUGUUAAUCGGGACGCGGUACCGGAAUAGAAAGCCACGGCUAACUACGUGCCAGCAGCCGCGGUAAUAC